CUGGAUUCGAAGUUCUACAUCUAAGCAUCAAUGGUGUCCUCCCUCUCCAUGUCCGCGAGGGUUAUUUCCAGGUGAUUGUCGCAUUCAAAGUUCUAUGUCUAAGGAUCGAUGGUGUCCUUCCUCUUCAUGGUGGUGGGGUUAUUUCCAGGUGAUUGACGGGUUCAAAGUUUGAUCUAAGCAUCGAUGGUAUGAUCCCUCUUCAUGGCCCUGAGGGUUAUUUCGAGCUGCUGCUACGAGCUUGCUCUAGCCGGGAGCUUGCUCUAGCCGGGAGAGGACAGGAGGAGGAAGCGCGGGUGGAGGAUCUUGUCCAGUCUGGAGCAAGAAAAAGAAGAAGAUUGCUAGGAAUGGAGUUCUUCCGUGUGCCGCUAUUUUUGCUCUUUGCUCAGUGCAUUCAUGUUGAGUCUAACAAGACGAGCACAAGUUGGAGUGUUGCCGUUGCUUUGGUCACGGUGUCACUAAAGUUUUGUUGGCUUGUAAUAUAGUCUAGUUACACAUACAUUGAUAUUUAGUUGGCAGAAAAACUAGUUGCACACAUAUAUGCUCAGUUUGGCUUGUAAUUUAGUCUAGUUACACAUAUAUUAAUGUUAAAUUGGCAGGACACUACUUGCACACACAUAUGCGCAAUUUGACGCGGCAAUGUAGUCUAGUUGCACACACAUUGAUAUUUAUUUGGCAGGACUAGUUACACAUAUAUGCUCAAUUGGCUCGGCAAUAUUGUCUAGUUGCACACAUAUUGAUGUUUAGUUGGGAGGACUAUUCGAACACCCAUAUGCUC